UGAAGCUGUCGCAGAUUAACAGAAAUUCUCUCUUAAAAUAUCGUGAUUUUAUUGCUUUCUCUAAAGAUGUCUAGCUGGCUUAGGAAAAACCUCAUGUGCUCAGACAUCAGUCUCUCGCUCUACCAUGAGCAGUCACAAACCACAAAAAGGGUAUUUUCAAAUGAAGUAAAGAUGCUUUCAGGAAUACCCACUUUUAUGGGCACUGUCUCUCUCCACACUGUGUCCUGUUACGGGUCUGAGUUGUCAAUAUGAAUUUCUACUAUGUGUGUUUUGUCUAAUGAUAAUGUCCAAAUGCUACCUUUACUUCUCCUAACCUAAUUUCAGACUCUUAUGCCUCUGUCAUCCCACUUAUAUAGAAGGAAAGAAAGACAUAAUGUGCGGAAGAAAAGCUGACAUAAGACUACAUCCUUCAAAAAGCCUUACCUUUAAUGAGAAUGAAGCACCUGUUUACUUCCAAGUGAUCCCAACCCCAUCACCUUUGAGAUCAUGGAUUCCUUCAUCCCUCCCUACCACCUCUCUUCAAGAAUAUUCAUUGUGUACUAGUCGGUCAAUGGCAACCGUCUCAAAGGCUCUCCGCAUCAUUGGAUAUUCCUCCAGGACCUCAUUGAAAUUGUCCACGGAUAGUGAAUAAAGACGACAAUAUGUAUCAGCUCGAACACUGGCAGUGCGGCGUCCCUUGGGUACUUUAUUUCACCUACUGAAGAGGAAAAGUGACAGUAAUGCUCCCCCUCACAGGCAGAUUGGAAAACUAUUUUCAAUUUCAACAUUAUAAAAAGCAUGUCCCAGGAAAUAAAAUUUGACCCACCACCCACCAAAUUAAAAAUAUACUUUUAAUAAACCUUAGGGUAUGAGGUACAUCAACUACUCAACGCUAUUUUUGCUGCCAUUAGUUAACCUUGAUCAUAUGUGUUUCAGUCUAUCUGACAUUACUGUCACCUAUAUGAA